rnacentral:rRNA from 1 species
UACGUAGGUGGCAAGCGUUGUCCGGAUUUACUGGGCGUAAAGGGCGUGCAGGCGGUCUGUUAAGUCUAGGGUGAAAGCUCCCGGCUCAACUGGGAGAGGUCCUUGGAUACUGGCGGGCUUGAGGGAUGCAGAGGAAAGUGGAAUUCCCGGUGUAGUGGUGAUAUGCGUAGAUAUCGGGAGGAACACCAGUGGCGAAGGCGGCUUUCUGGGCAUUUCCUGACGCUGAGACGCGAAAGCGUGGGGAGCAAACAGG